rnacentral:lncRNA from 1 species
CAGCCAUGGAAGGGGGAAGUUGGAGGCACAGGAUAAAGAGGAGAAAGCUGAUGGUGGGAGGGUCCCUUAGAGGCAGGGAGGUGAAAAGGAAGUUGUUGGGGAUAAUGGCGACACGGACGUUUCCAAGAAGGGAAAGUUUCUUUCGGGUCCUACUUCUUCUCGUGGCCUUUCCAUUUCCCUAGAACUUGAAACUCAGCCUCAGCUCCAGCCGACUCACUCACUUGCAGGCAGGGUUGCAGCAGGGGCCUCCUGAAGCCCUGUAGAUGCUCUGCCUCUCCUCUCACUGGGCCUAUACUGCAGCUGCAGGUGCAGUGAUGAAGGACCUGGGGGCCCCUUGCAAAGCUCCAGAGCAAAUGGACUUGACUGCCAGGAAACUGGAAGCCUGGAGGCUGAACUAGGCUGGGCACUCAGUGCUGGGGAGGCCCCGACACCCUAGGAGGUACACUGGGUGUGGUUAUUCCUGGUGGGAGAAGGAGAGCAGGUGCACAGCAGUCCUAAGUGAAAGCAGGAAAUGACUACCUGGAUCCCUGCUGCAGCCCGCAGAGGCCCGCUGCUCACCUGUGUCUGGCUUUGAGGAUACCACAUCUAGUUUGCUGGCCAGGGAUCAAGGCAGUUCACAGAAAGUAGAGGAAAUAUCUUUGAGUUGCAAACUCCCAGGAUGCAGGGUCUAGGCCUGUCUGGUGUCCCUGUCUCACAUUCAGUCACACACAAAGAUAGAGAGGCAGAGAAAUGCUGGCAGUCAAGAGGCCUGGCUUCUGACACCUGCCAUUUACCAGCUAUGUGACCUUGAGCAAGUCAUGUGUCAGGGUUGGAAUAGAGCCUCUUAAAGUGCCGGUCUCCCAAGGAAGGCUAUGAAGGUCUGUCCCCCGAGACACAGGGUAAGCAAGUUCCCAUACAAGGCCAACUCUGCAUUUGAAAGCAGCGAAUAAGCUGCUGAGACAACUUCUUGAACCACUCUGUUCUCUAUUCUCGACAUGUAAUUAUGGAAUAUCUUUGAUGUGCCUGGAACUUUCCAACAACCCUCUUCUAAGAGGAUACAGCAAAUCCCUGCCCUCCUGGAGUCCAACUUCUGCCAGAUUAGAAUUUUUCUUUUUUUUUUUUUCUUGAGAUGGAGUCUCACUGUGUCACCCAGGCUGGAGUGCAGUGGUGUGAUCUCGACUCACUGCAACCUCCACCUCCUGGGUUCAAGAGAUUCUUCCACCUCAGCAUCUCGAGUAGCUGGGACUAUAGGCAUGUGCCACCAUGCCCAGCUAAUUUUUUUGUAUUUUUAGUAGAGAUAGAGUUUCACCAUAUU